rnacentral:lncRNA from 1 species
UGGUUGGUUGCGUCAUUUUGUUCCCAUAUGCCCUAAAUUGUAAACUUCACAUAUACGUCAAUUGCGUCAUAUGAUUUUAAUAUUGUGGUGUUAUCCAAUCAUCCCUGAGUUUUGUAUUUUUUUUUAUGGUUUUUGAAUAAAACCCAAUUCGUUUAUUAUUAAUUAGUGUUUGCUGAAUUGUGUUCGGUAUCCUGCAUAACUUGUUAAUCAGGUAGAAAUUACAAGAAUAAAACAGCAUGGAACUGUUAUCAAGGCAUAUAGUUGUUUGAAAUAUAAUAUUUAAUGCUUAAUAACCUACUGUACAUGAAUUCCAUAUGAAGGCAUGUGAGGACAUAUGUUUUCCAGUAGUAUUUGUUUACUACGUUUUCCAUACUGAAGUAACUUUCUGUCUUCCAGGCAUUUGAAAUUGCUUUCAACAAACAGACAUGUCGGUUCCAUGUUCCAGAAUACUAAAAUAAUUGAAUAUAAUAUAAUUCUUUAUAAUAUAAAAUAUGAGUAUAUAAGGAAACUAUGAACAAGGCCAGAAGAAUACUUUACUCAAAAGUGGGGACAAUUCAUACUGUUUAUUAUAGAGGAGCUGGAUUAUAGAAGUAAUACCCCAGAACGGAUUUGAUUGAAAUGUAUACCAGGAAUUUAUACCUACAUCAAAUUAAGAAAAAAUACUAGUAUGUAGCUGAUUCUGUAUUUUCAAGUAAAUAGUAAAAUAAACCCUUAGAUGUAUGCCGACAAAGCAAUCCUCAAUCAUUCUGAGAUAUUUUAAACUUUUUUCUGUUAAUUUUAUUAAAAUGUUUACCCGUAUACAAUUUCUUUCAAAUAUGGUAAUAUAAAGAACUGCCUUUAUUUUAACCUAAUAAGUUCCUAAGAUAUAUCUUAGUUCCCUGUAAUAAUUUGAAGGUAAAUUUUAAAG